rfam:Helianthus annuus linkage group 8, whole genome shotgun sequence.
AGCCACACAGUUAGCACAAAAAGAACUAUUCAUUCGCCUUUUGCUAUAUAAUACCGUGUGCUUGCUGUUUCAGGUGGUAUACGCCUACUUUUGGGAGUCCUUUCUUUUAUUAAAAGGC